CCGGGCCGGGCUGAGGGCGGGGAGCGGGCCGGGAACCGGGCCGGGCUGAGGGCGGGGAGCGGGCCGCCGGGCGCGGUCGGUGCGUCGGCCCGAUCCCGGUGCCUCCUGGUGAAUUUCCGAGCUGCCCCAGGUCCGAGGGCCUGAUGUGCGGGUCAGCCGCGUUCGUGCGGCCUCUCAGACAGCAGCGAGCCUCUAGCAGUGCACAGAAUGUCUGAAAGAUAGACACCCUGUUCGUUCCCCUCAAGAUUACUUUCUUAGCAAAGACCGCACUUCCAUGGGCUCUUCUCGGUUCAUUUUCAGAGUAGUCGGAAGUCCCGCAGGAAAAUCCACACUGUUUCUCCCAACAUGAGAGACCAACCUUCCGCAGAGGCAUAGAAAGCUGCCCUCCAGUCCACUGUGACAUGCAGGAAAACAUCCAGAGACUCCCAAAAUGAUAUAUAUUAGCAGUUUAGACUCUUCAAGGGAAAUGAAGGCUCAGCAAAGAGAACAGAAAAUGGCCCACUGGCCUGAAACACAAUUGGAUUGGCUGAGACUGCCUGCACUGGCAAGUUGAUAAUCUGUAUCAUCAUAAUUCUGUACAAUCAUAAUAAAUUAAAUUCCUUCAUUGUCUCAAAUUCUGCCUGGAAGUAGUUAGUAUAAUUUCUCUAUCAUUAUUCUUAUAAAAAUGCCUUGAUAUUUCCCAUAGGUCUCAUCAGGGAAGUCAAAACCUCUGUGAACACACAGUAACUACAAAUCUCUCCUUCAGCCUCCAGAGCUCUGAGCAUUUGGACACAUUAACAAGCCCACACUGGAAAGGGCAGAGGAGAAAAAAGGAAAACAAAUGAGGCUCCACGCAUUAAGCUGGGUCUGGACAAGCAGGGCAAGGAAAGUGAGUGACAGAAGCAUUAUCAUGGCACACUGCCUCCCAUUGGGAAAGUUCAUCUUCCUUCUGAAAGAGACGCCUUCGGGGAUCAUGGAAUUUGAAUUCCCUGUGAAUUUGGUGUCAUCUUAGCUUGACCAGCUCUGGAAGAACAUAUUAACCUCCUCUUGUGAUUUUCAAAAAACCAUUCUAAUUUAGCAAGUAAUUAAGGGUCACAUGUAGGAUAAAGAGCUAGAUAAGCUUGGAUUACGCACAGGAAGCUUUGUUUCCCAGGCAACCCGAGCAGAGGGGGUGUUAAUGCUGAGGUCAGGCACUUAAUGAACUGGGAAUGGUUUCUGGCUGCAAAAUGUAUUCGAAUCGGGCGAGGCGAACUAACAACUGCCUUACCAUUUGAUGAUUUGAGGAGAGAAAACAAAUGCCUAACAGGGCUACUUAUCAGACAGAUACUGAGGAAAGCGCUUACAGGCGGUGCCACCGCUCUGCUAAGUGAGGUCAGGAAAAGUCCAAAACAAUGACGCUUGACAAGCCCGAAAUACCUCAGUCAGCACUGAAGGAUUUCGUGACUUCCCAGUGUGAAGGUGUCGCUGUUUGCGUCAGCUGCCGCUGCUGACACGCUCACCUUGCGCUGUGUGCUCUUUUCCUCCCGAGGUUAGUCCUGCCCGGAGGUUGCUGCCUGUGGAAUCGCCCUGGGGGAUUUAGCAUACUGAACAGCAAGACAGCUCUUCCUAGAGCUCCGGACGCAAUCCACUCCUGGGACUUUAGGCUCUGGGAGUUAAUCCCCCGGGGCAUUUGACAGGGCAAAUCUCACGCACAAAUGCCAUGCACAUGGAUAAAAUGGUCAAACAGC